GCGGCUCUUUUUUUUGUAGUGCGCUCGUCGCUAAAGCCAACAAAGACGCGGUGCACGAAACUGGAGAGCAAGAGAU
rnacentral:snoRNA from 1 species